rnacentral:lncRNA from 1 species
AUGUUUUUGCUUUUGGCUGUUCUAUCCCUUUUAAUUUGGAGCGGCACCGGGGGAAGCCCCCACGGAACCGGAAAAUCCUGUCAAAUUCUCUCAUCCCUGGUUUUACCAGGCCGGGGAACGUGCUCCUCUUGCAGUCCGCUGGGCUUUAUGGUGAUCCCCCUCCCUCUGGUCCUCCCCCCCGCAUCUGUCCAGUGCACUUCUGUGGACUUGGCCCGUCUGAUGAGCCUCAUGGCUCUACAAGACAUCUUUAUUAUUCCUGCUAGCCGUGUUCCUGGCCUUGUAUUCGGUUUAAACACCAAGAGAGAGCCAUCAAAUAACCCACCUACGUCUGUCUGUAGAUGUCUGAUUGUACUGUUAUUGUUGAUUUCAGGAAAUGUGCAACCUAACCCUGGACCAGAUUCUGUUGUUAGUUUUAACACUCCUGCUGAUUUUAAAUCGAGGUCUGGUCUCAUCCAUUUGAAUGUGCGCAGCUUGAUUGCUAAAAUGGAUAUGAUUCGUAUUUGGGCACACUCAACUGAUGCUGAUAUCAUAGUGAUAUCUGAAACCUGGCUCACCAAAUCCAUUCCAAACAAGGAUAUUAAUAUUGAUGGUUACAAUGUAAAUAGGACUGAUCGACCUAAAAAGGGUGGAGGUGUUGCAGUCUUUGUUAAAUCUAAGUUUCAUGUAAAGAUUCUUCUCUCUACAUCACUCACAAAACAAUUUGAACUUUUGGCUCUUGACUGGGAAGUAUCAAAAGCUCUCCAUAUCACUGUCGUUGGUUGCUACGGACCACCUUCAGCUGUCAGUGACGCUUCACCAUCUUUAAUGCAGCUUUUGUCCAGUCUUAACUAUAGUGAAAGUGUCAUUGUGGGUGACCUUAACUGGAACUGGCUGCUACCAGCAUCAGAGGACUUUAAAAAAUACUGCAAUUCCUUAAAUCUCUUUCAGAUAGUUGGUAGUCUCACUAGACCCAAUCUGAAAUCUCCUGAAAAAUCCUCCUUAAUUGAUCUUAUCCUUACAAAUACUCCUCAUAAAUACACCACUGCUUCUGUAUUUGCAAAUUUCACCAGUGACCACUGUGUCAUUGCUACAGUAAGGAAUACAAAAGUCCCUAAGACUAAACACUGUGUCAUCAUAAGAAUUAAAUUAACUCCACUCACUCUUUCUUGGCUUUCCAUCGUCAAAAGUUGUGGCUAG